rnacentral:rRNA from 1 species
AUUGCACAAUGGGCGCAAGCCUGAUGCAGCAACGCCGCGUGAGGGACGAAGGCCUUCGGGUUGUAAACCUCUUUUAGUAGGGAAGAAGCGACUGGGUUUUCCUGGGAGUGACGGUACCUGCAGAAAAAGCACCGGCUAACUACGUGCCAGCAGCCGCGGUAAUACGUAAGGUGCAAGCGUUGUCCGGAAUUAUUGGGCGUAAAGAGCUCGUAGGCGGUUUGUCGCGUCUGCUGUGAAAACCCGAGGCUCAACCUCGGGCCUGCAGUGGGUACGGGCAGACUAGAGUGCGGUAGGGGAGAUUGGAAUUCCUGGUGUAGCGGUGGAAUGCGCAGAUAUCAGGAGGAACACCAAUGGCGAAGGCAGAUCUCUGGGCCGUAACUGACGCUGAGGAGCGAAAGCAUGGGGAGCGAACAGGAUUAGAUACCCUGGUAGUCCAUGCCGUAAACGUUGGGAACUAGGUGUGGGGACCAUUCCACGGUCUCCGUGUCGCAGCUAACGCAUUAAGUUCCCCGCCUGGGGAGUACGGCCGCAAGGCUAAAACUCAAAGGAAUUGACGGGGGCCCGCACAAGCGGCGGAGCAUGCGGAUUAAUUCGAUGCAACGCGAAGAACCUUACCAAGGCUUGACAUAUACCGGAAACGGCUGGAAACAGUCGCCCCGCAAGGUCGGUAUACAGGUGGUGCAUGGUUGUCGUCAGCUCGUGUCGUGAGAUGUUGGGUUAAGUCCCGCAACGAGCGCAACCCUCGUCCUAUGUUGCCAGCACGUAAUGGUGGGAACUCAUGGGAUACUGCCGGGGUCAACUCGGAGGAAGGUGGGGAUGACGUCAAAUCAUCAUGCCCCUUAUGUCUUGGGCUUCACGCAUGCUACAAUGGCCGGUACAAAGGGCUGCGAUACCGCAAGGUGGAGCGAAUCCCAAAAAGCCGGUCUCAGUUCGGAUUGAGGUCUGCAACUCGACCUCAUGAAGUCGGAGUCGCUAGUAAUCGCAGAUCAGCAACGCUGCGGUGAAUACGUUCCCGGGCCUUGUACACACC